rnacentral:piRNA from 1 species
UGAAAAGUUGAAUGAGUCAUACAGCCUGUAC